GUUAGUUAGGUCAUAUUUUUCUUUUCUCCUCUUUAUUUACAGCAUGAAUACCAGUAUUAAGGAGCAUAAUUGUAAUUAGUCUACCAUUUCUUAGCCUUUUAGUGGUUAAUAUCAAAUCCCUGAAAAGCUAUGAUUAAAUAUUCAGACAUGUCUAGUCAAAUGCCAAGUGCGCCAAAGGUAAACAGGAAUAGAAAGAAAAUUAUCUUAUUUUCAUUGAAUAAGGAAAUGUAGCUACAAGGAUGUGCAAAUGAAGAAACUCAAGUGCGCAAUUCUAACUAUUUAAAGGACUUUGCCAUCUAUUUCCCUCCUAACAACAUUUUAGCUGGACUCCACAUCUAGAAGUGCAUAUACCUUCCAGAUAAGGGGUUGGAAUGGAGGUGUGUUGUACCCUACUAAAUUGUUAAGGAUCUUAUCUGAAGAAUGCCCAGCCACUGGAAUAAGUAUGGGACUCACAUCAAGACAUUUGCUCAGUCAACAUACAACUUUUAGAGGUUGUAUGCAGUUGCAGUCCCAGGCUGUUAUGACUUUUCCUUUUGGCUUCAAUUCGAUGGUUAGUUAUUCAGCCUUAUUGUUCUCCCACUCCUUCAAUAGGCUAAGGGACUCGCCACCCCAAAAGUUUCUUAACAUUUCUGUGACUAUUUUGUUAGAAUCUUUUACCCACCUUCCUUUAAGACUGUUGUGAAGCAUGAUUCAGAUCCGGCCUGUCUUGUGCUUUUCCUCGGUAAAUAUAGGAAUUCUUAGCUUUCCGGGGAAGUCCAUUUGAUCUAGACUUUUAUAUCCCUGUGCUCAUAUCUAACUCAGUGUCUGGUUAAGGGAACCUAUAGCAUGUGUGUUCCACAGAACUCCUAGAGUCCUCAGGACUAGCAAAGAGAGUGCUUACUUAUACAUGCCUCUCUCAUCCCCUCUCACCUGCCAGGGCUAUUUCUCUGAUCACAGUCUCUACUGAUCACUCUAAGGACACAUCUCCACCCCUCGCUGUUCUCUCAUUGUCCAGGGCAUUCUCAUUUAGUCUCAUCUGGGGGAGAGAACUGAUGCUUUCUUUUGCUCUCUUUUCAGUCUAUCAUUAUUAAUGCCAUAAAGUUUUCAUUCUGCUUUCUUCAGAAAUUUCUUUUUUGAUUUUCUUUCUUUCCCUCCUCCUGUUCCUUUUUUCUCUACUUCUUUUUUUUUUUUUUUUUUUUUUGAGACGGAGUUUUGUUCUAUCGCCUAGGCUGGAGUGCAAUGGCACGAUUUUGACUCACUGUGACCUCUGCCUACCGGGUUCAAGUGAUUCUCCUACCUCAGCCUCCCAAGAAGCUGGGAUUACAGGCAUGCACCACCAUGCCUGGCUAAUUUUAGAUUUUUAGUAGAGUUGGGAUUUCACCAUGUUGGUCAGGCUGGUCUCGAACUCCCAACAUCAGAUGAUCUGCCCACCUCGGCCUCCCAAAGUGCUGGAAUUACAGACCUGAGCCACCAUGCCCUGCCCUUUUUUCUCUUCUUAUCUCAAUAAGUUUUGCACCUUUAAAAGCAAAAUCUGUGGGUUUCAAAUAUAUUGCUUUUUUUCUCAUGAAGGCUUCAAGAAUCAUUUUUGGAUAUUAAAAAAAUUAAGUAUUCACUUACCCUCUUUGCAGCUGUGACAAUCCUACAUUUAUGAAACUAUGGUUGCUAAUGGAUGACUAAGAGGUUUAUAUGGAAAGGAGUCAGGAGUAAAAAGAAUGAAAAUAGAUAAUAAAUUGCUAUAUUUUAUUAAGGAAACAAAAGCCAUUAGUUAGAAACUGACUCUUAUUAACCCUCCAUCAAACUUAUAUGCUUGUCUACAUCUGCCUCUACCAGCUUCCUCUCUAUAAAUAUAUUUGGAAGGCUGCCUACUUCCUGCCAAAAGUAGGUUUUAUCUUUCUGCUUUUGUUUACUCAAAGACUGAUAUGCUUUGGCUGUGUCCCCACCCAAAUCUCAUCUUGAAUUGUAGCUCUCAUAAUUCCUAUGUGUCAUGGAAGGGAGCCAGUGAGAGGUAAUUGAAUCAUGGGUGCUGGUCUUUCCCAUGCAGUUCUCGUGAUAGUGAAUAAGUCUCAUGAGAUCUGAUGGUUUUAUAAAGGGGAGUUUCCCUAAACAUGCUCUCUUGCCUGCCACCAUGUAAGACAUGCCUUUGGCUCCUCCUUCGCUUUCCGCCAUGAUUGUGAGGUUUCCCCACUUAAAGGUCCAUUAAACCUCUUUUUCUUUAUAAAUUA
rnacentral:lncRNA from 1 species